UACGAAGGGGGCUAGCGUUGCUCGGAAUCACUGGGCGUAAAGGGUGCGUAGGCGGGUCUCUAAGUCAGGGGGGAAAUCCUGGAGCUCAACUCCAGAACUGCCUUUGAUACUGAAGAUCUUGAGUGCGGGAGAGGUGAGUGGAACUGCGAGUGUAGAGGUGAAAUUCGUAGAUAUUCGCAAGAACACCAGUGGCGAAGGCGGCUCACUGGCCCGAUACUGACGCUGAGGCACGAAAGCGUGGGGAGCAAACAGG
rnacentral:rRNA from 1 species